CAGAGGAGGUGAUGGUCACUAAUGACUUCAGACCAGCUUUCACCUUAUUAACAUAGUUGUUUGGUCACGUUGUGUUUGAAUGAGACACAGUUUGUGGAGUGGACCCGGGGCUUUGUGUGUUUGUGAUCAGUCUUGGUGUUGAGGAUUUCUCAUGUUCAGCUCCCAACCAACAAAGUUUGAGCUGAAACUCUUCCUGUAGCCACGUGUGCUUUGCAUUCUGCAGCAAAGUUCUACAGAUGUGCAAAGAUCUGGGCGAGCAAUGAGCUGUGACAUCAACAUGAACUUUCUGUUUCCUCCAAAAGUCCACAGCACUUCCUGUUGUUGCUCAGACGUGACUGAUAACUAGAAUUGAACAGAACUCUUUGAAAUGACUUAGCUUUAGCUGUAUGCUAGCUACACUCUACAGUGACUUUCAGCUUCUUUUGCCACCAGGAUGUUUCCCUCAAAGAUGCUUGUAGGUGGAUCUGACUGUGGCCAAUCAACACCUGCGCCUUGCCGCCCUGAUCAGAUACCCAGCUGGGAUAAUGAGCUCGCCAAAGGAGAAGACUGAAAGCACUGACACGAGGAAGGAACGAGUCAGAGGACCAGUAAGUGUCAGCAGAACCACUGUUCAGGACCAGACCACAGACAUCAGCCACGACUGACCGUGUACUUAGUGAAAACCUCAGACAGCAGAAAGCAGAGGAAGAGGAGGAGCAAGGAGAGCAGCCAUGAUGGAAGGACAGGUUCUCGGACUCGUCCGUGACCCCGAUCUGUUUCCCUGGUGGCGUGGAGUGGAGUGAGAGUGAGUGUGCUGAAAACAAAUACGAGAGGAGCGAGUGAGCGGAGCGAGUGUUGGACUUUGUCCCUUUUCCCCUGGACCAUUGCACAUCCUGCCCUGUACACGUGGGGUUUGUAAAUAAAUACUGUAGCAGUGAGAGGUUGAAGAUGGUGGUGAAACCUCUGCUAGUUGGUCUGCACAUGCUUUAAGCCCUCCACCGGCUGCACCGUCAGCACCAGCUGCUUUCCUCGCAUAGACUCAGUGUGGCUCUGACCUGAUGCUGCUCCAGCUGGAUGGGGGCGUCGUCCCUCUCUGUAACGCAGGAUAGGUGUUGGUGUCACUGUUUUGUUGGUCAAAGCGGGCGAAGAACUGCUUCAUGGUGUCAGGUGAGGUGAUGUGCGGGAGUUUGUUUGUGUGCGAUUGUCCUUGUAGCCAGUGAGUGUCUUGAUCCCUGCCACGUUUCUGGUUUGUGUUAAAGUGUUCCUCGAUGCGCUGUUUGAAUCUGCGUUUGGAUUCUUUGAUGCCUUUAGAUUAGACGCCUCUUUGUAGGUUUGUUGGUCUCCUGAUCUGAAGGCGCUGCUCUCAGUAGAGCUGCACCUCACUGUUGAGCCAUGGCUUCUGCUUUGGGAACACUUUGUCUUUGUUGUUGUUACACUCUCAGUGCAGAUGUAUGAGAGUACAGCAGAUGUGUGGCCCUCCAAGUCUGAUCCUUCUGUGAAUACACUCCAGACCAUAUUGUCCAAACAGUCCUGCAGGGCUGUGGUGGAUCCACAGUCUAGUGUGGACUGUGUUACUUCUGGGUCUUAGAGACAAGCUUUGGAUUUCUGAGGAUGUUUCUGGGGGAUCUAGUUUUGGUUAAAUUAUAGUUCUGCAUUCUUCAUCAUCAUUUCACUUAUUUCUUGGUGUUCACGUCUCAUUUAUUUCCCUUUCCUUAUACAACUGUUAGUUCAUGCUGGUUUAAAUGAGUCCUAAACUUCAUUGUAUGUGACAUUAAACAUCUUAAAUGUAACUUUCUGUAGCAAAGAAAGCUGCAGGAGCCCAGGUUUCAUCUUCACACACAUCAGGAGCAGCUGCUCCAUCACAAACACCACAGAAGAAGAACAACACUGGAUCAGAUUUAAUGUAACCGGCUGUUUUUAUCUGGAUUUAUCUGACAGGGACAGAGUUCAUGUUCAUGGACAUCAGGAUAAAAACAGAAGAUGGAAACCUGCCAGAUUUGAGCUGCUCAUGUGUCGUCCCUGGGCAGGUCACAUGACUCUAUCCAACACACAAAGACACACAGACACACAAGAAAAGCCAGAGAAACAAAGACGAAUCCAAACAAUCCAUCAUACUGAGUUAAAGUGAUCACAGGUCUGCUUUGUUGGAGCCUUCAAAGUGUCACAUGUGGACUGUUCCUUUAUUACUGCCACUGAAGGCCACGCCCCUCUGGUCAUGUGAUCAUGUGGUUUGUAGGAACGCUCCUCUUCCUCAGAGGAUCCACCUGUGCUUCCUCUCCU